UUCUUAAUGAUAUAAUAUUAAGUAAGGCCUGCUCCAUGUAACAUAAAUAGCCGCAGAAAAUUUACUGUGCUAAGGUAGCAUAAUCAUUAGUCUCCCAAUUAGAGACUAGAAUGAAAGGCUUAACAAUUAAAUUACUUUUUUUAAUAACCCCCCAAACUUUCAAUAAGCAUAAAAAUAUCCUUAUAAAUAUAAAAGACGACAAGACCCUAUCAAACUUAACUGUAGUUAAGCUGGGGAAGCUCAUUAAAAAUAAUUUUAAGCCCCAUAAAAACAUAGACACCCAACUUAGUUGAACAACAAUCAAGUUACUGUAGGGAUAACAGCGUAAUUUUUCUUAAAAGCUCUUAUUAAAAGAAAAGCUUGCGACCUCGAUGUUGAAUUAAUUUUACUUUUUCACGCAAUCGUAAAUAAAGUUGGGUCCGUUCGACCCAUAAAAAUUACA
rnacentral:rRNA from 1 species